rnacentral:sRNA from 1 species
UGGAUGUGGAGUCGGAGGCUGACUGGUU